UUCUAUAAGAUAAAUCGCUUAAAGUAAAACCUGCUCAAUGUUAAAUAAAUAGCCGCAGUUUAACUGUGCUAAGGUAGCAUAAUAAUUUGCUCUCUAAUUAGGAGAUAGAAUGAACGGUUAAACGCUUAAACCCUCUUUCUUUUAAAAUUCGAACUAAAUUAGGAAAAAAGUAAAAACCCUUUUUAAUCAAGGUGGGACGACAAGACCCUGAUAAACUUAACCAAUUAGUUGGGGAAACAAAACGAUAAAUACUCACCUAAACAAAACACAAAACCCUAUAAUAAGAUAUUGACUAGUUACUACAGGGAUAACAGCGCAAUCUCUUUCAAGAGCCCACAUCCAAAAAGAAGAUUACGACCUCGAUGUUGAAUUUAACUUACCUAAUUGACGCAACAAUCAAAUAAAGGUAGUCUGUUCGACUAUUAAAAAGUU
rnacentral:rRNA from 1 species